UGGGGGACUUAAGUUAGCCCAUUGUACAGAAGGUGCGUGCAAGGCCAAGUUUAUGCAUGCAUAGAAGGAAAAUUGAUUGUUCGUUGGAAGAGGAUUAAAGGCUUGAAGUUUGAUAGUGGAGUCUUCUACCGUCGAUUCAUGUGGUAUUAACGUAAGCUUCGUGACUUGAAUAAAAAAUUUCGGCCGUUAAAAUGCUCUUUAAUUUCAAAUUUCGCUCCAGAAUCAGAGAAACCCUUGCUAACCCUCAUAAAUUUAGGGAUUUAUUUGAAUUUCGUGCAUGUGUAAUUGGCGUUGAGGUUGGACCUGCUUGUAAACCCAGAAGUUCUUUCCAAUUUCCCAGUUAUGUACUUAACACAUUUUUCUCGUCAUUAUCAUCCAGAAACCCUAAUCCUAGUUCUCAUUCAAACCCUAGUUUAUAUGGCGAGAGAGACGAUUUUGAUGCCAUCGGAGAAGGGAGUGACAGAUUUAAGCAAAUGGGUUUUGGGGAAUCUAGGGAUUUAGGCCACUUUGGAAGCGGGCUUGAUGAUUUGGAUGAUAAUGAAGAAUCGAGUGAUAUAGAAGAAGGUGGUAAUGACCAUAAUGAUGACGAUUUAAUGGUUUUGAAUUCAUUUACUGGAGGUUACAGACAAACAGAAGGUAUUAGAAGAUUCGAGGGAGGUGAAGAUGAAUCUAGACAUCCUUUGGUAAGAGAAAUAUGUAGGUUAAUUGAACUUCGAUCAGCCUGGAAUCCGAAGCUUGAGGGGGAAUUGAGGCAUUUGCUAAGGAGCCUGAAGCCCAGGCAAGUUUGUGCAGUUUUGCAAUUGCAGACUGAUGAGCGGGUUGCUUUGAGAUUCUUCUACUGGGCUGACCGGCAAUGGCGGUACCGGCAUGAUCCCAUUGUGUACUAUGCAAUGCUUGAGAUUCUAAGCAAGACAAAAUUGUGUCAGGGGGCAAAGCGGGUUCUUCGACUUAUGGCUAAGAGGAGAAUUGAGCGCCGGCCUGAAGCAUUUGGUUAUGUGAUGGUGUCAUAUAGUCGGGCAGGCAAGUUGAGGAAUGCAAUGCGGGUUUUAACUAUGAUGCAGAAAGCAGGAAUUGAACCUGAUUUGUCAAUAUGUAAUACUGCAAUUCAUGUUUUGGUAAUGGGAAAUAGGCUGGACAAGGCAGUGAGGUUCCUGGAACGAAUGCAAAUUGUUGAGAUUGCACCUAAUGUUAUCACCUAUAACUGCUUGAUUAAGGGGUAUUGUGAUUUGCAUCGACUUGAGGAUGCAAUGGAACUGAUUGCUGAAAUGCCUUUUAAAGGUUGCUCUCCUGACAAAAUUAGUUACUAUACUGUGAUGGGUUUUCUUUGUAAGGAAAAAAGGAUUAAAGAAGUGAGACUGUUGAUGGAGAAGAUGUUGAAGGAUAGUAAUUUGUUACCGGACCAGGUUACAUAUAACACUCUUGUCCAUAUGCUCUCCAAGCAUGGCCAUGGGGAUGAGGCUCUUGAAUUUUUAAGGGAAGCAGAAGAGAGGAGAUUUCGGGUUGAUAAGGUUGGGUAUAGUGCUAUAGUUCACUCCUUCUGUCAGGAAGGAAGAAUGGACAAGGCUAAAGAAAUAGUGAAUGAAAUGUUUUCUAAGGGUUGCAUUCCUGAUGUAGUCACCUACACUUCUGUUAUCAAUGGGUUGUGUCAGGAAAGGAAGGUGGAUCAAGCUAAAAAGAUGCUUCGGCAAAUGUACAAGCAUGGUUGCAAGCCAAAUACUGUAUCAUACACAGCUUUGUUAAAUGGGCUUUGUAAGAAUGGGAACUCAUUGGAGGCAAGAGAGAUGAUGAACAUGAGUGAGGAGGAGUGGUGGAUUCCAAAUGCUAUCACAUACAGCGUAUUGAUGCAUGGGUUUCGCAGGGAAGGGAAAUUGUCUGAGGCCUGUGAUUUGGUCAGGGAGAUGAUUAAAAAGGGUUUCUUUCCAACACCAGUUGAAAUUAAUUUACUGAUUCAGUCUCUCUGCCAAGAGGAAAAGGUGGAUGAGGCAAAAAGGUUCAUGGAGCAGUGUCUGAACAAUGGAUGUGCUGUCAAUGUGGUAAACUUUACUACUGUAAUUCAUGGGUUUUGUCAAAAGGAUGACUUGGAAGCUGCUCUCUCAUUGCUUGAUGAUAUGUAUCUAAGUAACAAACAUCCAGAUGCAGUUACAUAUACAACCAUAAUUGAUGCACUGGGAAAGAAAGGUAGAAUAGAAGAAGCAACUAAACUUGCAAUGAAGAUGCUUCGGGUGGGUUUGAUUCCUACUCCUGUCACAUAUCGGACAGUUAUCCACCAGUAUUGUCGGAUGGGUAGGGUGGAAGAUUUGUUGAAGUUAUUAGAGAAGAUGCUUUCAAGGCAAGAAUGCAGGACAGCAUAUAAUCAAGUUAUUGAAAAGCUUUGUAGUUUUGGAAACCUCGAGCAGGCCUAUAAACUCCUGGGCAAGGUUCUCAGGACAGCUUCAAAAAUCGAUGCCAAUACUUGCCACAUGCUUAUUGAAAGUUAUUUGAGCAAAGGGAUUCCUUUGAUGUCAUAUAAUGUGGCUUGUCGAAUGUUCAAUCGGAAUCUGAUUCCUGAUCUGAAGCUGUGUGAGAAGGUGAGCAAGAAACUAAUGUUAGAGGGAAAAUCAGAGGAGGCAGAUAAGCUUAUUUUGCGGUUUGUUGAACGUGGUCGCAUUUCACCUCAGUGUCAGCUGGAUUUAUAGAGCUAGGACAGCAUGUCAAUUUUCUUGAGAUGCUGAUGGAUGUGAUCUGGGAAUGCUGAGCUGUAGUCUUGUUUGCUGUAAUAUGUUUUUGGAGAUAUGAUUGUUGGUAAUCUCUGUAAUUUGGUGAACACAAGGAAUGGAUGCUCUGUAAUUGAGUUGACUACCACAUAAGAGAGUGGUACAAUUUUUAUACUCAAUCACGUCUCAAAUGCAUAGUGUACAGAAAAUUUAAACACCAUUUUCAUGCUUUACACCUGGAAAGUCUCAGACAUGAUGCAGGCAUAAAAAUUUAGAUACCAUCCCUAUCUUUACAACUUGGAUAUACCUUGAGCACCCUCUUGGCUUUUGCUAUGCCAAGCAUCAAGUGAUGCAAAUUGAACUGGGUUUGCCGUUGGAGAGAAUUCAAGGCUUCCACAGUAGGAUAGUAGGUUUUAAACCUUACAUUUUCAAGGUUUGACUAGCAAACAAGUGUGGGAGCAUGGAGGUUGGGGAUUGCUUUGGAGGAAAAGAGUUCUGCUAGAUUGGUGCAGGGGCUUGAGAAUCUUGUGGUAGAAGUUGAUGUUGAUAUUUUUGACAUUAUUUGAGGCCAUAAUUGGAAAUGGGACCGGAACUCUUGAUCGUUAAAAGUCAUUAGCGAGCUUCUUGACAGAGAGUCAGCAGUGCUACUGGCAGACAAAGCUUUGCCGAGAUGGAGAUGGAUUUGAUCUUGAGGUUCAGGACACAUUUCUCUCUCUCUCUCCCUCAGAGUCUAGCUGGGCAUGCAUUAUAGUUGAAGCAAGUGAAAUUGUGAAAACAAAGGAUGCUUUGUUGUUAACUACUCAUGAAGGGCAACAACAAAAUCUUGUAAAAAAAGAAAAGAGAAAAAGGAAAAGAAGGAGAGCAAAGCAAUGGUGGGGUUAUGACUAUGCUUUUGCUUUUGCAUUGAGGAGAUAAAAAAAAAAAAGGGUCUUAUGUUGAAAGACACCAUAUGGAACCUUCUAACAUGUCUGCUUCAUGGCCGACCCAUCCUCUGCUAAAGAUGCCACUGUUUCUUCUUCAGUAUCCAUCAUGCUUGCCUGUACUAAAUAUACCCCUAUUUUUUUAUUCAUAUUCUAUGGAUUUUUUUCAUGCUUCUCUCAUUACUAUCAUUCAUAUAUAUUGUAUGUACUUUCUGGGUUGUAAUUA